rnacentral:lncRNA from 1 species
GUCCGACAACACUCCGGGACAUCCCAUGUUUCGCGAAGGGCAGGACAGAACUUGAGGCAUCCAUCGUGUCAAGUACGGAGGGUGAAAUGAACAGCUCGACUCACAGUAUGAUCCCUGACGGUGUUGCUUGUGACGUCACCGGCGUCAAAAUCUGCUGAUGACUGGAGGUCUAUGCAAAAGUGAGAUGUGAAGUGAACUGACUGUGCUCCUCAUGGAAGGAGAGGGAAGGCUGACAGGCAUGGAAGUUGAUGGGGGAAAAAGGAGGGGUUUACCAAUAAACAAGGAUAACAAUCUGGGAAAACGUUACCUUGUAUCCUGCACACAAGAUCAACAUCAAACCAACGUCUGUUAGACUGCUUUACACCUGUAAAUGGAUAUUCAGCAAGUUGAUUACUUUGUAGGAACAACAUAACAUCGUCAGGUAUUUGCAAUAUCUGUCUGUAAACUACUUGGGUUUAAUAAAUGACCUGGACUUGCUUACGUUGUCACGUGCACAGACGUCUGAGACGCAUGAGCUGUGAGACGUAAGGAAAUAUGAAAAUGAUAUAGUACGUAUCUGAGCUUUACAUUUUUUUUACUUGCACAUAAACCCAUGUAUAGAUACAUUUGUUGUGAUUAUUAACCUAAAUGAGUGAAACUGUAUAAACAAGAUGCACGUGAACGCUUGUGUCGAGUUGUGUUGCUUUAAUUCUCAAAGACGUGAAGGCAAACACAGACUGAUUUAAUCUUAUUUGUUCUAAUUAAAUUAUAGCCUAUAUGUAGCUUCAAAUGGAAUUGUUGUGAUUGUGAUAAUAAGAACGUGUGCGUAACGCGAGCGUCUGUAGACUUGUGUGAAAAUUACAGGCGCGAGUUUUUUUUAGCUUGUGGUGCUUUAUAAUUGUUAGGGUUACAUAUUUGUGAG